GCAUUCCAUAUCCUUCUAUAAUCCUUUUAUUUCAUAGGGUUUAGUGUUGAUUCGUGUCCAUCCUCACUCCCGCUGUUGUUUCGUUUAGCAUUACUUGGGGUUCAAAUGGGUUUGUGUUAAUGGGAUCGUUUGUUGUGUUUCCUCAGGAAAUUUAUAAAUUAUUGUUGAUUUAACCAAUUUAAGACGGAAUGUUUUCUUUUUUUUUUUU
rnacentral:misc_RNA from 1 species